rnacentral:rRNA from 1 species
AGCGAACGCUGGCGGCAGGCCUAACACAUGCAAGUCGAACGAAGUCUUCGGACUUAGUGGCGGACGGGUGAGUAACACGUGGGAACGUGCCUUUAGGUUCGGAAUAACUCAGGGAAACUUGUGCUAAUACCGAAUGUGCCCUUCGGGGGAAAGAUUUAUCGCCUUUAGAGCGGCCCGCGUCUGAUUAGCUAGUUGGUGGGGUAACGGCCCACCAAGGCUACGAUCAGUAGCUGGUCUGAGAGGAUGACCAGCCACAUUGGGACUGAGACACGGCCCCAACUCCUACGGGAUGCAGCAGUGGGGAAUCUUGCGCAAUGGGCGAAAGCCGGACGCAGCCAUGCCGCGUGGAUGAUGAAGGUCUUAGGAUUGUAAAAUCCUUUCACCGGUGAAGAUAAUGACUGUAGCCGGAGAAGAAGCCCCGGCUAACUUCGUGCCAGCCGCCGCAGUAAAAC